CGUGGGAUCCGCCCCUCCGCCAGCCCCGCUGGCUUCCCCUCUCCGCCACCCCGGACUCAGAACCUCCCCUCCCCCGCCGGGGCCUGGGCGCGCCUGCCCUUCGCUCCCCGACCUCCUGCUGCAGCUCUGGGCCCCUCGGCCGCUCCCUCCCCUCCUCCCUUGCUCACCCCACGGUUGGCCGCGGAUCUCCAGCACGCCGCCCCAGUCCUCGGCGUCCCGCAGCGCCUGCCAGGGUCGCCGAGCCUCCCCUGCCUCCUGGCCGCCUCUGCAGUGCCGUCCUCCCGGGGCUGGCUCUCUCCCCAGGCCCCCGCUUUGGCCACCCAGGCACUUUCCGCCCUGAGCGUGGCAGCUGCUGCCGGGGGUCCUGGGACCGCGGGAUGGGAACUCCCACGCAGCGUCCCACAGGCUCCUGGCCGCCGCGAGCCCGCGCGACUCGCACGAGCAUGUCCACCCGCAGCGAGGGGCCGGUCACUGCUACGGAGCCCGCCAGAAGGCAAAGCCCCAGACAGCAAAUAGGGAGGCGGCUGGCACCCAGGGAGGCCGAGGCGGGAGGAUCGCUGGAGCCCAGGAGUUCGAGACCUGCCUUGGCAACAUACUCCCUCCAGCGUGCCAAAUGCUGCUAAUGGACAGCCGCUCCUGCCGCUCUGAUGUUGCUAGACCUCCUCAGCACUCAGCCCAAGGCAGCCAGGAAGAAUGAACGAAUGGUGAUUCAGAGGGAAAGGAGGAAGCUGCGUGGCAUUUCAGAGAUACUUAUUUUAAAACUGCUGGUGGCCAUGUCUUCUUUUCAUAUCAGAGCUAAUGAGUUUUGAUAUGUGAACAUUUCUUCUCCUUCAUAGGUAAUGUGUUGAUUUGGCACUUUAAUCUUAGAAUAAUCAUUUCUAAAACCAACCCAACUGCUUUUCUUUACAAUUUUGGCCUUAGCAAACAGAUGAGUCCGUUGACUUGAGCAUUGCUUGGGCACUGUCUGUGUGCAGGUCAGGCAGGGGAUGCUGGUGGCUGGGAAACAUAGAGGAUGGAGGUGUCUUGGGUGUACAUGAAGGGGUGGGGUCAAGUCCACAGGGGGUCGGCCCCUGGCAGCAGUCCUGGAGGGCUUCGUGGAGGAAGGGAGAAUUGAGUGAGAAAGUGGUCCCCAGGUAAGAGGGAAGAGCAUCCAGGGAGAGGAGACUGCUUCUGGGAAGACCAGAGGCAUCACCUCGCAGGGGCUGGUAUGGUGGUGGCUCAGGUGGGAGGAAGAGAGACCUCAGGGAAAAUAACAGGUUCCAUUGACAGGAGGCCUGCUCUGGUGGGGAGGCAGGCUGGUGGUGGAGUCAUGGCUGCAGGCCAGGGAGAUGCCUGACCAACAGGUGUGUUGGCCAGGGUCCCUGUAGCAAAAACACGGAGCUGAGGACCUCAUGGCAGGGACCCCAUGCAGAGGGAGCCGCGGGUGGCAUGGGGAUAGUCACCUGGCUCUCCUGCUCUCGGCCUCCUGCAGCUCCCCUCACUCCCUGCCCUGCCACACAAGGUCAAACCCACCAGGAGGCAGAAGGCGAAGGGCGAGGUCCCAGGGUGAGGAGCAGGGAGGAGAUGGUGGCAGCAGGGAAGGUGAUGCCUGCUGCAGAGUGAGACCUGGGACUGCCAAACACACAGUGACGGGAGCUGAGGAGGCCUGCCGGGGGAGGAAGACAGUGGCUGGCAGUGACAGGAAGGGAGGGUCAGCAUGGGGCGGCAGUCCCAGAGCUCAGGGCUCCCUGCCAGGCCAGCCUUUGUGGCCUGUGGGGUGGAGGUGGCAAUUGCUGUCAUGUCAUAAACACGUCAAGCUUACAAUGAAAUCUCCAGUGUGGCUUGGGAGCAAAUACAUGUGCAGGUGUUUGAGUAUCUGUGCUCUUACCUAACCUCAGGGAGCAGGAAAACGAAAGCUUAUCAUGUAAACACAUCAGCAGCAGGGCUUAUGUGUGUCUCCACACUGGAACCCCCAAGACAAGAGACUGGAGGCAGAGUUGAUUUCCAAGCCCAGAGUGCUGGGCAGCCUUUGGGUUUUAUGUCUGCUUGCUUGGAGCUCAGUGAUAGAAAUCUAGGCCCCAGAAGAGGAAAGGACUGUCCUGCAUAACCAGCACACCCGGGGAAUGCUUCAGGUGCAGCUGGAUCCAGGCAUCCUCAAAUAGUGUGAUUAGGACUCCACUUUCCUUUGUCACCUUGGCUUGGCUCUUCCCUGCUCUGUGUUGUUUUCAGACGAGGUGGGGCCCCAGCAGCUCUGGUCCUCCUGACAUCCUAGAGAAGAGCCAGCCCUUCCCUCCUGGGGUCUACACCGUCCCCUAAGGGACCUCAGACUGGGCUGAUGGAAGGUCUCAAGCAGGCCAUGUGAAGGGCACUGCACAGGAAACACAGAAACGGGAAUCCUAUAAGGUCAGCAGAGCUCUGAGCCCUUUGUUCUUGGGCCUGUUUUUAUGAUCCUCCCUCUACAUGUAGCUCACACUUCCCUGCUUCUGUGCAGGCACCAGGUGAGGGGGUUGUCAUGGCCUCCUGCCACUCUUGAGGCUGUCAGAUAUUACCUGUGCUGUCCCUGCAUUCUCAAGCUCCAAAUUGUCAACUAAGAAAUGGUCACUUAAAAA
ensembl:lncRNA LCIIAR lung cancer immune cell infiltration associated lncRNA